AUUGAACGCUGGCGGCAGGCCUAACACAUGCAAGUCGAAUGGUAACAGGAAACAGCUUGCUGUUUCGCUGACGAGUAGCGGACGGGUGAGUAAUGUCUGGGAAACUGCCUGAUGGAGGGGGAUAACUACUGGAAACGGUAGCUAAUACCGCAUAACGUCGCAAGACCAAAGAGGGGGACCUUCGGGCCUCUUGCCAUCAGAUGUGCCCAGAUGGGAUUAGCUAGUAGGUGGGGUAACGGCUCACCUAGGCGACGAUCCCUAGCUGGUCUGAGAGGAUGACCAGCCACACUGGAACUGAGACACGGUCCAGACUCCUACGGGAGGCAGCAGUGGGGAAUAUUGCACAAUGGGCGCAAGCCUGAUGCAGCCAUGCCGCGUGUAUGAAGAAGGCCUUCGGGUUGUAAAGUACUUUCAGCGGGGAGGAAGGGAGUAAAGUUAAUACCUUUGCUCAUUGACGUUACCCGCAGAAGAAGCACCGGCUAACUCCGUG
rnacentral:rRNA from 1 species